UGCCCUGCUUUCUGGCCUCCGUUUUCCUGGUUAUAAAGCAAAGAUGCCUGGGGCGGGAUGCAGGCUGCCCAGGGAGGCAACCCUCGUUAGGGAGGGUCCAUCAACGCUCUCAGACCCAGGAAAGAGAAAGCCCUGGCCCUGACUCAGAAUUGGAUUCUAGCUGGAGGCGUCCUCUCCGUGGCUGGCUCCAGGGAAAGGUGCUGUCGGUGCCCCCCCUGGGGAAGUUGGGUACCACGAUUGGGAAAUUGAGGCUCGAGGAUUUGGAGCUUGGAAUGGAUGGAGCUGUCACUGAACAUGGGUCAGCCUGUCUCCAGAAGCCACACUGAAUGUUCCCUUCGAGGCACAAACAACAAAAUCCAGAACAAAGGCCCCACCUCGCUGCACACAGAGCCUCUUCUGGCUGACUUAGGCUCUCUCCGUGGAUGCAAGUACAGCGGCCCCUCCGAUGCCAACAACGCUGCCUGCUGCGGAGGGCCAGCCCGUUCUCUGCAGCCCUGAGAGGGCAAGAGCGGACCCAACCUCUGUGCCCAUCCACCGGGGACUGGAUCACCGCGCGCAGGGGCAUGCGCACAAGGGAACACUAUUCAGUCACGAGGAAGAGCGAGGUCGCCACACGUAUAGACCUGGAAAGGAGACUGUAAUGUGUAAAGGAAAAUAAAUUGCCAAACAGGAUGUAUAGCACUGCCCGACUUUUAUCAAAAGAAGUAUUUAUAUGGGCUUCUAUUGACAGAAGAAACUGGAAGUCUUAGUAUUAAUCUCUGGACGCUGGUUA